GAUUUUCUAAUGAACGGCUUUAAUUUUCCUGAAAUUGACGUGACCUCAUUGAAAAAGGUAAACUCUCGUUCGUAAAAUUGCUUAUCUUCUCCAGAUAAAGAGUUAAUCAUUUUAUCCAUUACCCUAUCCAAUAUUGGUUUUAUAGAAUCAGGUACAGUAGCGGCUUCAUCUUUAUAAAGAUUAGCUUUCAUGUUCCACAAAAUUUGAUGAGCAAACAACUGUGAUGUUCCUGAGGUUUCGAGAAUGAAACUUUCAGCAUAUCCCAUGCUAUCAUAACGUAAUGAUUGAACAAUUUGAGGAACAUAAAAAAACGUUACAGAAACUGGGUAACUUUCCAUAGAACGCAUGGUGUACUGCAAUAAUUGUGGAUUCCAUUUCACAUUCGGCAUGAACAUUACAGGCCCUGAAACUGGAUACAUUGGCUCCCAGUAUAGAAUAAACUUGCGAUCUAUAGGAAAUUCACCGCUUGGAUAGUGCUCAAACAGAUAUUCCAAAGCAACCUCAUGUUUUACACUAGUAAAGGGAUUUGCAAUGACGAAAUUCAACGCCAUCUGCUUCAAUGGAGCAUUUUGAAAUCUUUUAGGAGCGUAUAACACUAUAUUAGGAGAAACGUUCCAAGCAACCUGUAACAUUUCCAAAGUAAUUGGCGACGAAGCGGCAUCUGAAUCAGGAAUAGGUUCAACCAUCCUGACAUUU